AGCCACGCAGUGAGCACAAAGCAAACUAUUCUUUCGCCUUUUACCGAAGAAUACCGUGUGCGUGCUGUAAAUAGUGACAUACUCCAAUUUUAGAAGGGUUUUCUUCUUUGAAGACCC